rnacentral:rRNA from 1 species
AAUUCGAUUGAGUUUGAUCCUGGCUCAGGACGAACGCUGGCGGCGUGCCUAAUGCAUGCAAGUCGCACGCAGCACCUUCGGGUGCUGAGUGGCGCACGGCUGAGUAACACGUGCGGACCGGCCCACUUGUGGGGGAUAACGGUGCGAAAGCGCUGCUAAUCCCGCAUACGCUCUGCGGAGGAAAGCGUGGCAACACGCGCAAGUGGACGGGCGUGCGGCCCAUCAGGUUGUUGGUGUGGUAACGGCGCACCAAGCCGGUGACGGGUCGCUGGUCUGUGAGGACGACUAGCCAGACUGGGACUGAGAACGGCCCAGACUCCUACGGGAGGCAGCAGCAAGGAAUUUUCCCCAAUGGGCGCAAGCCUGAGGGAGCAACGCCGCGUGCGGGAUGACGGCCUUCGGGUUGUAAACCGCUUUUCGGUGGGAUGAUACUGACAGUACCACCGGAAUAAGCCCCGGCUAACUCUGUGCCAGCAGCCGCGGUAAGACAGAGGGGGCAAGCGUUGUCCGGAUUU